CCUACGGGAGGCAGCAGUGAGGAAUAUUGGUCAAUGGGCGCGAGCCUGAACCAGCCAAGUAGCGUGAAGGAUGACUGCCCUACGGGUUGUAAACUUCUUUUAUAAAGGAAUAAAGUGAGCCACGUGUGCCUUUUUGUAUGUAUUUUAUGAAUAACGAUCGGCUAACUCCGUGCCAGCAGCCGCGGUAAUACGGAGGUUCCGAGCGUUUUCCGGAUUUAUUGGGUUUAAAGGGAGCGUAGAUGGGUUGUUAAGUCAGUUGGGAAAGUUUGCGGUGCAACCGUAGAAUUGCAAUUGAUACUGGCAGCCUUGAGUGCAGUUGAGGUAGGCGGAAUUCGUGGUGUAGCGGUGAAAUGCUUAGAUAUCACGAAGAACACCGAUUGCGAAGGCAGCCUACUAAACGGCCACUGACGUUGAUGCUCGAAAGUGUGGGUAGCAAACAGGAUUAGAUACCCUGGUAGUC
rnacentral:rRNA from 1 species